rnacentral:rRNA from 1 species
UACGGGGGGAGCAAGCGUUGUUCGGAUUUACUGGGCGUAAAGGGCGCGUAGGCGGUCAGCACAAGUCAGUUGUGAAAUCUCCGGGCUUAACUCGGAAAGGUCAACUGAUACUGUGCGACUAGAGUGCGGAAGGGGCAACUGGAAUUCUUGGUGUAGCGGUGAAAUGCGUAGAUAUCAAGAGGAACACCUGCGGCGAAGGCGGGUUGCUGGGCCGACACUGACGCUGAUGCGCGAAAGCCAGGGGAGCGAACGGG